rnacentral:rRNA from 1 species
CCUACGGGAGGCAGCAGUGAGGAAUAUUGGUCACUGGGCGUAAGCCUGAACCAGCCAAGUCGCGUGAGGGAUGAAGGUUCUAUGGAUCGUAAACCUCUUUUAUAAGGGAAUAAAGUGUGGGACGUGUCCUAUUUUGUAUGUACCUUAUGAAUAAGGAUCGGCUAACUCCGUGCCAGCAGCCUAGGUAAUACGGAGGUGCCGAGCUUUAUCCGGAUUUAUUGGGUUUAAGGGGUGCGUAGGCGGCCGUUUAAGUCAGCGGUGAAAGUCUGUGGCUCAACCAUAGAAUUGCCGUUGAAACUGGGGGGCUGGAGUAUGUUGGAGGCAGGCGGAAUGCGUGGUGUAGCGGUGAAAUGCUUAGAUAUCACGCAGAACCCCGAUUGCGAAGGCAGCCUGCCAAGCCAUGACUGACGCUGAUGCACGAAAGCGUGGGUAUCGAACAGGAUUAGAUACCCUUGUAGUC